rnacentral:rRNA from 1 species
AGAGUUUGAUCCUGGCUCAGGAUAAACGCUGCGGCGCACAUAAGACAUGCAAGUCGAACGAACAGAAGUCAUUCUUAUAGAUUGAUGGAAGUUAGUGGCGGACUGGUGAGUAAAGUAUAAGUAACCUGCCUAUCAGAGGGGAACAACAGUUGGAAACGACUGCUAAUACCGCAUAUGCCAUAAGAAUCGCAUGGUUCAAGUGGGAAAGGAGAAAUCCGCUGAUAGAUGGACUUAUAUCUGAUUAGCUAGUUGGUGGGGUAAAGGCCUACCAAGGCGACGAUCAGUAGCCGGACUGAGAGGUUAAACGGCCACAUUGGGACUGAGAUACGGCCCAGACUCCUACGGGAGGCAGCAGGUCGGGAAUAUUGCGCAAUGGAGGAAACUCUGACGCAGUGACGCCGCGUGCAGGAAGAAGGUUUUCGGAUUGUAAACUGCUUUAGACAGGGAAGAAAAAAGACAGUACCUGUAGAAUAAGCUCCGGCUAACUACGUG